rnacentral:misc_RNA from 1 species
AGCAGCCGCGGUAAUUCCAGCUCCAAUAGCGUAUAUUAAAGUUGUUGCAGUUAAAAGCUCGUAGUUGAAUUUCGGGGUUCUACCGUCGGUCGGGCUACCAAGUCUGUACUGGUGUGUAGAAUUUCUACCUUCUGGGGAACCAUCAUGUUAUUAAUUUAGCGUGGUGGGAAACCAGGACCUUUACCUUGAAAAAUUAGGGUGUUCAAAGCAGGCUUAUGUCUGAAUACAUUAGCAUGGAAUAAUAGAAUAGGACGGUGGUCCUGUUUUGUUGGUUUCUGAAUCACCGUAAUGAUUAAUAGGGAUAGUUGGGGCAUUAGUAUUCAAUUGUCAGAGGUGAAAUUCCUAGAUUUAUUGAAGACUAACUUCUGCGAAAGCAUUUGCCAAGGAUGUUUCAUUAAUCAAGAACGAAAGUUAGGGAUCGAAGACGAUCAGAUAUCGUCGUAGUCUUAACCAUAAACUAUG